GUCCGCCCCUCCAGCUCCGCGCUCGCCCCAAUCACAUGCGUCCGCCUCGCCUACCUUCUCUUCGCGCAACCGCUCGGUACUCCACCGCCCAAUCACGACUCCGCCCCGCCCGCCGCACGCUCGCCCGCCUCCACCUGCGUCGCAUCCACGCGCUUGGCUGGGGCGGCGCCGCCCGGCACCACCGACUGCCCUCCGUCCGGGCGCCGCACGCUCGCCUCCUCUCUCGCCAAGCGCACCGGCCACCGCCCCGCCGCGCUCCAGAUCCGAGCUCUCCGGCCGCCGCCCGUCGCGGUCCGGUGCCAAUCUCCUACGCUCCUCUCCAGCUCCGGCCUCCCCAUCGGGGCGUGCCCCUCGGCUCUGCGACGGAUUCCACCGCGUCCGCCGUGCCCCUCGGAUUCCACCGCGGGCGCCGUGCGCCUCGGACCCGCGCGGCGUGUCUCUCCGCACCGAGUCCGGCCUCCACCGUGCGGCGUGCCUCUCCGCCGCGCCUCGCUCGCCGGAGACCCGUCUCACCCGCUUGUCGUGCCUUCUCUGCGCUGGAGCGGUUCGUAACCUAUGAACUGCUCAGGCCGCGCCCCUCCUGCGGCUCAACGCGCGGCAGCUCCUCGCCUCCCCGACGAUCUGCUCCGGCUCGAGACCUUCGCCGUCGGCUCCACGUCAGAUGAGCAUUACGUGAUUCCUCAUGAAGUUCAUCCCUGUGUUUGCAAAAUAGUUUCCCCAUGAGGUUGAAUCAAUUGAGAUCAUCCACACAAAGCAUUAUGUGAUUGCUUUCUGGCUAUUGUAGUGUUGUUCUCCUCUCGAAAAGGACCACAGAAGCUCGGGUCCUUGCAGCCGGUGCUCCCAACGGAGGCAGUCCAUUGAAUCGAGAUACAAAAGAUUUGCGAGGAUUCCAGUGGCCGUCUCGACCACCCUAAUGCCUGCAGGGGAAAAUCCACGAAGGAGAGGCGAAGAGCAACGUAACGAGAACAAGGUGAAGGAGAUAAGGAUGCCAACAAUGAAGAGGAGCUUGGGCUGUGGUUUCAUCAAGCAUACAUGAUCGAAUUCAGAAGUUCAGGACAAAAUAAGGGCCUUAAGGACAUUGGCAAAGGAAGGCACGAAUGACAACAUUCAACGCAUGAAGAUGUUAAGAGCGAACCACGAUGGAUUACGAAAGGCGACAUCAAUACAAGCUGCAUGGACAAUUCGAAUUCUCGCACGAAGGACCAUGGCUUCACAUCAAUUAGAAGUAGUGUUGCAGCAAACAUAUGUAUAUAUCUCUACAUACAGUGAUUGCACCGAGGCUUGGGAGAGCAUAGCGAAGGUGAUGAUGGACGUGCUUAGGAGCGUAAGAGGAAACACAGUCUGUUCUUAGGAGCGUAAAAGGAAACUCAGCCUGUUCUUGAUCAUUGCAAGUAAGAAGUUGGAUUCUUUCUCUAGAUAAAUGAGCAUCUGGUCCUUAUAAAACUGAAUAUCCUUUCGUGGUCAGCUCUGCUCUUUGUUUGAUCCCACAUGUGUUGGUCUGACAAUUGAUCUUGUAUUACCUGCUUAGUGCUUAGCAAGUAAAACAAUUACCAAGUUUGAUGUGUGCAGAUAGUUCAGGAAAACAAAUGUUCUGAAAAUGCAGUUGCUACUCAGUCUGGAGAUUAUUCUAGAAAAUGAUAUGCUACUGUAGGUUUGAAUUUCUUCUGAAAAAUGUAGCUACUAUGUAUUUUUAGUUCUCAACUUGUUCUGAAAAAUGCAACGGCUACUUGAUAGCUCAACUAUGUAUUUGUUACACGAUCAGGACCUUAUACUACUUGCUGCCUCUGUGAACAAGCUGUAAGAGUAUUCCGUAUUCCUGUAACUUCAAGUUUGUCAAAUUGCAACCAUGUCACUUUUUUUGGACAACAGCACUCAAAAGAUUGUUUUUUUCCACGUGGAAGCACCGUCCGCUUCAUUCUAGCACUGCCAUGGUGAGCCGUCUUCAUCUCGGUUUUUUUUUCCAACUCAUGUUGUGGUGUUGCUUGCAUCCUAUGAUGCAUGGUAACAAUGUUUUCUACCACUGCAUCAUGUGGAGGGCUCGGCCGGCUGCUGCCAGUGGCGCAAGAGAGGUAGGGACUUUGCCCAUUGCCAUGCACUUGCAGGAACCAGGGGAAGUGGAUUGCCGGAACCAGAAAGUUCUUUCAAGCAAAGGAAAAUGUGUGCUCCAUUACAAGUUGCAAAACUACAAUGGCAAGUUCGGCAUCUUUUCUACUUAAAUGAUCCUCUGAUUGUUUGUGCGGGAAUCUCAAUGUGUCACAAAACUAUAUGAUGAUAACGUCCACACAAUUCUUUAAAAAAUGGUUCACAUAAUGUUUUUCAUAUUCUGUUGUACUUGUUUGCAUAUUUAGUUGGCAUUGAACAUCAAUAUAUUAUUAUUUUGCUUUUA